rnacentral:rRNA from 1 species
CCAAUAGCGUAUAUUAAAGUUGUUGCAGUUAAAAAGCUCGUAGUUGAACUUCGGGAUUUACCCAUUGGUCAGGCUUAAUUGUCUGUACUGGUGAGAUGAAUCUCUACCUUCUGAGGAACUUUCAUGCCAUUUAUUUGGUGUGAUUGGAAAUCAGGACUGUUACUUUGAAAAAAUUAGAGUGUUUAAAGCAGGCUAACGUCUGAAUACAUUAGCAUGGAAUAAUGAAAUAGGACGGACUGAUUCUAUUUCGUUGGUUUCUAGGAUCACCGUAAUGAUUAAUAGGGAUAGUUGGGGGCAUUAGUAUUCAAUUGUCAGAGGUGAAAUUCUUGGAUUUAUUGAAGACUAACUACUGCGAAAGCAUUUGCCAAGGAUGUUUUCAUUAAUCAAGAACGAAAGUUAGGGGAUCGAAGACGAUCAGAUACCGUCGUAGUCUUAACCAUAAACUAUGCCGACUAGGGAUCGGACGAAGUUAAUUUUAUAAUGACGCGUUCGGCACCUUACG